rnacentral:ncRNA from 1 species
AAAUACGCAAUGAAAAGAUAAGUAAUAACUUAGACAACGUCAAGAGAGCUUGCAUUUGGUGAGAGCAAGUCUGCGUCGGUUACAAAAAUGGUCUUCGAGCGACAUGCUAUCGAGCAGUUUGUAAGAUAACAUUGGGAUCCGCCCAUUACUGCGGUCGAGUAUCAGGUCAUUUUGUCGACAAUGAUACUUGCAGAGUUAUUCGGUGUGAAUCGAAUAAAAUGAGAGGUGGUACCGCGAGACUGUUCGCCCUUGAA